UUUCGUUACUUUCCUUUUGUUCUUAUUCACCAACCUAGCUUCCAGAGUCUCCUCAAUCCAUCCCUUCACUCACUACUCCUUUCUAGGGUUUGUAUCUAGUUCAGGGUGCAUGGUCUAGGCCUACUUAUAGAUACUGGAUCUUCCUUAUUAUGCAUGAGAACGUCGAGAAGGGUUUAGCAGAAAGGAAGGGCGAGAUCACCUUAGUUAAUAGGCUUCUGUUCUACAUUGACAACUAUUGUUCACCUUAGCUGAAAGGAAGGAGAAAAGAGAAGAAAAGGAGAAUUAUCAAAACCUCGCCCACUUCAGACCCCCAAUGCAGCACUUUUAUUAUUAUUAUUAUUAUUAUUAUUAUUAUAAUAGCUGAACUCAACUGAUCAACAUGUGAUGUAACAAUUAAUUAAAUUUGUGUUAUUUUGUAUAUAAAAUAAAAUAGGGAGAUUAAUCUCAAAUCAAUUUUCUUAGUUAGUUCCGACCACUAAUUUGUAUGAUUUUUAA